rnacentral:rRNA from 1 species
AUUGAACGCUGGCGGAAUGCUUUACACAUGCAAGUCGAACGGCAGCACGGGGCAACCUGGUGGCGAGUGGCGAACGGGUGAGUAAUACAUCGGAACGUGCCCAAUCGUGGGGGAUAACGUAGCGAAAGUUACGCUAAUACCGCAUACGAUCUACGGAUGAAAGCGGGGAUCGCAAGACCUCGCGCGAAUGGAGCGGCCGAUGUCAGAUUAGGUAGUUGGUGGGGUAAAGGCUCACCAAGCCGACGAUCUGUAGCUGGUCUGAGAGGACGACCAGCCACACUGGGACUGAGACACGGCCCAGACUCCUACGGGAGGCAGCAGUGGGGAAUUUUGGACAAUGGGCGCAAGCCUGAUCCAGCCAUUCCGCGUGCAGGAUGAAGGCCUUCGGGUUGUAACGU